rnacentral:lncRNA from 1 species
UUUAUUUCAUCUUAGAUCCAUGAUGCAUCAUGGUCCAUCUAAUAAUUUCUCCUCAAGAUGACCAGUAGUAGUAAAAACCAUAAGUUUUGCAACAUGACUGCUAUGCGUUAGCAAGAGCUUCCAAGGUGAGGGACUACUUACACGCACUGGCUCUUGUCAGCGCAGUCGCAGUCGCCGCAGGUCGACAUGGUGCGUCGCUAAAAAGGAGAGGAGGGACGAAGGGAUGGCAGGUGACUCGAGAGAAGGUUUGCUGGGUCUGGCUGUGAGGAAAGAGGCUUGGGUGCCGCCCAUAUUUAUAGGCGUUUUCAAGGAUGAGGAAAGCGAGGGUGGGGCUUAAACGGAUAACUGACGCUACAGUGGCGGCACGCGCCUCGACCAAACUAUCCAAAUGGAAUCUCAAUAAUGGAG